CCUACGGGGGGCAGCAGUGAGGAAUAUUGGUCAAUGGACGAGAGUCUGAACCAGCCAAGUAGCGUGAAGGAUGACUGCCCUAUGGGUUGUAAACUUCUUUUAUAUGGGAAUAAAAUGUUCCACGUGUGGGAUUUUGUAUGUACCAUAUGAAUAAGGAUCGGCUAACUCCGUGCCAGCAGCCGCGGUAAUACGGAGGAUCCGAGCGUUAUCCGGAUUUAUUGGGUUUAAAGGGAGCGUAGGUGGAUUGUUAAGUCAGUUGUGAAAGUUUGCGGCUCAACCGUAAAAUUGCAGUUGAAACUGGCAGUCUUGAGUACAGUAGAGGUGGGCGGAAUUCGUGGUGUAGCGGUGAAAUGCUUAGAUAUCACGAAGAACUCCGAUUGCGAAGGCAGUUCACUGGACUGCAACUGACACCGAGGCUCGAAAGUGUGGGUAUCAAACAGGAUUAGAUACCCUAGUAGUC
rnacentral:rRNA from 1 species